rnacentral:misc_RNA from 1 species
AGGAAGUCAAUGCAUUAGGCCACAUAAGGAAUAUAUUUUAACGCAACACAAUUUCACAAAUUAAACUACACCAAUCAUGAUAACAGGGGCUACAAAGAGACAUUCUCAGUGCAUGAAAUAAUCUAUAAUUAUUCGAAAGAGUAUUGGUGAAUCUUCAAGUGAAACAUGAAGUUAAAAUGAAAACCACAGUAAGAAAUUGCUGUUCUCAAAAUAAGUUUCUGAACUCCCCAAUAAUCCAUUCAAUACAAGGUUUUUCUGUUUGUUUUAGAGCAAAAGCAUCAGAAAU